AGCGGAGGAAAAGAAACCAACAGGGAUUGCCCUAGUAACGGCGAGUGAAGCGGCAACAGCUCAAAUUUGAAAUCUGGCGUAAGCCCGAGUUGUAAUUUGUAGAGGAUGCUUCUGGGUAGCGGCCGGUCUAAGUUCCUUGGAACAGGACGUCAUAGAGGGUGAGAAUCCCGUAUGUGACUGGCUUGCACCCUCCACGUAGCUCCUUCGACGAGUCGAGUUGUUUGGGAAUGCAGCUCUAAAUGGGAGGUAAAUUUCUUCUAAAGCUAAAUACCGGCCAGAGACCGAUAGCGCACAAGUAGAGUGAUCGAAAGAUGAAAAGCACUUUGGAAAGAGAGUUAAAAAGCACGUGAAAUUGUUGAAAGGGAAGCGCCCGCAACCAGACUUUGCGGCGGUGUUCGGCUGGUCUUCUGACCGGUUUACUCGCCGCCGUGAGGCCAUCAUCGUCUGGGACCGCUGGAUAAGACCUGAGGAAUGUAGCUCCCUUCGGGGUGUGUUAUAGCCUCUGGUGAUGCAGCGCGUCUCGGGCGAGGUCCGCGCUUCGGCAAGGAUGAUGGCGUAAUGGUUGUCGGCGGCCCGUCUUGAAACACGGACCAAGGAGUCUAACAUCUAUGCGAGUGUUCGGGUGUCAAACCCCUACGCGUAAUGAAAGUGAACGGAGGUGGGAACUUUUUGUGCACCAUCGACCGAUCCUGAUGUCCUCGGAUGGAUUUGAGUAAGAGCAUAGCUGUUGGGACCCGAAAGAUGGUGAACUAUGCCUGAAUAGGGUGAAGCCAGAGGAAACUCUGGUGGAGGCUCGCAGCGGUUCUGACGUGCAAAUCGAUCGUCAAAUUUGGGUAUAGGGGCGAAAGACUAAUCGAACCAUCUAGU
rnacentral:rRNA from 1 species